UACGAAGGGGGCUAGCGUUGCUCGGAAUUACUGGGCGUAAAGCGCACGUAGGCGGCUUGUUAAGUCAGGGGUGAAAUCCUGGAGCUCAACCCCAGAACUGCCUUUGAUACUGGCGAGCUUGAGUUCGGGAGAGGUGAGUGGAACUGCGAGUGUAGAGGUGAAAUUCGUAGAUAUUCGCAAGAACACCAGUGGCGAAGGCGGCUCACUGGCCCGAUACUGACGCUGAGGCACGAAAGCGUGGGGAGCAAACAGG
rnacentral:rRNA from 1 species